CGCGACCCCAGGUCAGGCGGGGCUACCCGCUGAG
rnacentral:rRNA from 1 species